rnacentral:pre_miRNA from 1 species
AGUUGGAUAGUUGGGUUAAAUGGUGGUUCCAUUCCAAGAUUUCCAAGAAAUCACCAUACUGCUUUCCAGAUUGGCUGCACCAAUUUGCAGUCCCUCCAGCAGU